UACGAACUGUGCGAACGUUAUUCGGAAUCACUGGGCUUACAGGGUGCGUAGGCGGCUUGUUAAGUAGGGUGUGAAAGCCCCGGCUCAACCGGGGAAUUGCGCCCUAAACUGGCGAGCUGGAGUGAGAUAGGGGUGUGUGGAACUUCCGGUGGAGCGGUGAAAUGUGUUGAUAUCGGAAGGAACGCCGGUGGCGAAAGCGACACACUGGAUCUUGUCUGACGCUGAGGCACGAAAGCCCAGGGGAGCGAAACGGG
rnacentral:rRNA from 1 species